CUUGCCGCAGAGCACAGGGUUUAGGCGCAUGGGCUUCAGUAGUCACAGCAUGUGAGCUCAGUAGUUACGGCUCUCAGACUCGGGCCCAAUACCUGAGACUUGAUCUGUCCCUUCUCUCCUUCUUCAAACGCUGCUAGCCCUUCAGGACAAGAGAGCUGGCUGCAGAGUUAGCUGUAAUAGAUCUGAGGUUUCUUCACUUCUCUACAUGGGGCCAUCUGAGGUUACAAGGAGCUACAGAUUCCCAGUCUCUUGCUACUCAAAGUGUGAUUGGCAGACCAGCAGCAGCAGUGUCAACAAGGAGCUUGUAAGAAAUGCAAAAAUCUUGGCGUCUUCUCCAGAAUCACAAACUCUGAGGAUUGGGCCCUCCAGAGGAUUCCUGAUGCCCUCUAAAGUUUGAGUAGGGACUUCUCUGGUGGUCCAGUGGUUAAGAAUUUGCCUUCCAAUGCAGGUGGUUGAAUCCUUGGUCUGGGAACUAAGAUCCUGCAAGAUGCUCAAUGCAGCCAAAUAAAUAAAUAACUGAAUAAAAAUAAAUGUACCAUCUUAACCCUUUUAAAAAAAAAAAUAAAGUUUGAGUAGUACUACUCUGGUCUAAGCCUUUGUGAUCUCUGGUCCAAGCCACCUCCAUAGCCUCCCAUACUUACUGGUCUCCCAUACUGGUCUCCAUACUUA